UUAAAAAAAGGAAGAGAAGAUCAUCUUCUCCACCAAUACACCACCUCCUUUCCAAUCACACCCUUCGCCCGUUCUUGAAGCCAAAUUCUACAGGUAGCACAUGAUCAAAAAAUUAUAUCAAGUUUCCUCUUUUAUCAUCCGCCGAUUGAAGGAUUUAACCGAACGACCUUCAACCGCUGACGUCUGCUGCGACAAAAACGAUGGCGACCAAACGGUGCAGAUCGGAGUUCAAAGGAGGAAACUUGCUACAACACUUCUUGAUCAACCAAAAAAACCAUUAAACCAAGCAAAUCAAAAACAAAUCUGGAGCCGGAUCAAGCUCACGAACGACAACCAAAGAAAAUUCGAAGAAUACUUCUUCCAAGAUCUGUUCUCAUCUGUACAAUAGCAGAUAUGAGGCAACAAAAUGAAGGGAAACGGGGCCGAUGAAAGCGGUGGAAUGUUAUAUGGGUUUGUAAACUAACAGACGGACGUAAACUGCAAAAGAUGAGUGAUUCAUCCAUGAGAGUCUCUUCAAGUCUACACUUGAAGAUAGAAGAAGUGCAGAAAACGUUGCACAUUAAAAGGCACUGCAACAUCAAAGACACGGAUGCAACGCACUCUAUCACAGAAGAAGUAAUCGAAGGGUGCAAAUUAUCAAUCAAGAUUGCAGAGAAGUAGAAGGAAUGAGAUGAAGAAAAUUGAUCAAAGGGGUACAGAGGGAUGGAAUAAGAUAUGGAAAAGCAAUUGAAAGAAGGUUACCAAUGAGUUUGAUGAUUUCGAUUCAGAGAGGAAGUAAGUGAUAGUGAGAGUGUUAAUAUAGGGGGGUAUUUAUAGGAUUCCCAUCUUUAGCAUGCUGGUUAGAAAGAUGCAUCUUCCCCAUAAAAACAUAACAUUGGAACCUGCUGAAAAGAUGAAGCACGGGUGUUAACUCAAUUUCUCUCUCUCUUGGAACCUGCUGGAAAUAUGAAUCUCUCUCUCUUAAUUACUAACAU